CAGUCGCCACGGUAAUACGGAGGGUGCAAGCGUUAAUCGGAAUUACUGGGCGUAAAGCGUGCGUAGGCGGUUCGUUAAGUCUGUUGUGAAAGCCCCGGGCUCAACCUGGGAAUGGCAAUGGAUACUGGCGAGCUAGAGUGUGUCAGAGGAUGGUGGAAUUCCCGGUGUAGCGGUGAAAUGCGUAGAGAUGUGGAGGAACACCAGUGGCGAAGGCGACUCUCUGGUCUGUAACUGACGCUGAGGAGCGAAAGCGUGGGGAGCGAACAGGAUUAGAUACCCCGGUAGUCCCUGUCUCUUAUAA
rnacentral:rRNA from 1 species